UCCUACGGGAGGCAGCAGUGGGGAAUUUUCCGCAAUGGGCGAAAGCCUGACGGAGCAAUACCGCGUGAGGGAGGAAGGUUCUUGGAUUGUAAACCUCUUUUCUUAGGGAAGAAGAAAGUGACGGUACCUAAGGAAUAAGCAUCGGCUAACUCCGUGCCAGCAGCCGCGGUAAU
rnacentral:rRNA from 1 species